rnacentral:rRNA from 1 species
CCUACGGGUGGCUGCAGUGAGGAAUAUUGGUCAAUGGGCUUACGCCUGAACCAGCCAAGUCGCGUGAGGGAAGACUGCCCUAUGGGUUGUAAACCUCUUUUGUCAGGGAGCAAUUGGCGCUACGUGUAGCGUUAUCGAGAGUACCUGAAGAAAAAGCAUCGGCUAACUCCGUGCCAGCAGCCGCGGUAAUACGGAGGUCCGGGCGUUAUCCGGAUUUAUUGGGUUUAAAGGGAGCGUAGGCCGCAUGUCAAGCGUGCUGUGAAAUGUCCGGGCUCAACCCGGGCCUUGCAGCGCGAACUGGCGUGCUUGAGUCCGCGGAGAGCAGGCGGAAUUCGUCGUGUAGCGGUGAAAUGCUUAGAUAUGACGAAGAACCCCGAUUGCGAAGGCAGCUUGCUGCAGCGGAACUGACGCUGAUGCUCGAAAGCGCGGGUAUCGAACAGGAUUAGAUACCCCAGUAGUC